rnacentral:tRNA from 1 species
AUUGUUUUAAGUUAAAUAAACUGAGAGCCUUCAAAGCUUUUAAUAUAGGUUGUGAUCCUAUAAACUUUA